rnacentral:rRNA from 1 species
CGUUCCCUACGGGGGGCAGCAGUGGGGAAUAUUGCACAAUGGGGGGAACCCUGAUGCAGCGACGCCGCGUGAGUGAAGAAGUAUUUCGGUACGUAAAGCUCUAUCAGCAGGGAAGAAAAAAGGACGGUACCUGACUAAGAAGCCCCGGCUAACUACGUGCCAGCAGCCGCGGUAAUACGUAGGGGGCAAGCGUUAUCCGGAUUUACUGGGUGUAAAGGGUGCGUAGGUGGCAGGGCAAGUCAGAUGUGAAAGCCCGGGGCCCAACCCCGGUACUGCAUUUGAAACUGUCCGGCUGGAGUGCAGGG